UACGGGGGGGGCAAGCGUUGUUCGGAAUUACUGGGCGUAAAGGGCUCGUAGGCGGCCACUAAGUCAGACGUGAAAUCCCUCGGCUUAACCGGGGAACUGCGUCUGAUACUGGAUGGCUUGAGGUUGGGAGAGGGAUGCGGAAUUCCAGGUGUAGCGGUGAAAUGCGUAGAUAUCUGGAGGAACACCGGUGGCGAAGGCGGCAUCCUGGACCAAUUCUGACGCUGAGUGAGCGAAAGCCAGGGGAGCAAACGGG
rnacentral:rRNA from 1 species